rnacentral:rRNA from 1 species
UACGUAGGGUGCAAGCGUUGUCCGGAAUUAUUGGGCGUAAAGAGCUCGUAGGCGGUCUGUCGCGUCUGCUGUGAAAACUCAGGGCUUAACCCUGAGCUUGCAGUGGGUACGGGCAGACUAGAGUGCGGUAGGGGGAGACUGGAAUUCCUGGUGUAGCGGUGAAAUGCGCAGAUAUCGGGAGGAACACCAAUGGCGAAGGCAGGUCUCUGGGCAUUAACUGACGCUGAGGAGGCGAAAGCAUGGGGAGCGAACAGGG